rnacentral:rRNA from 1 species
AUUGAACGCUGGCGGCAUGCCUUACGCAUGCAAGUCGAACGGUAACAGGUCUUCGGAUGCUGACGAGUGGCGAACGGGUGAGUAAUACAUCGGAACGUGCCUAGUAGUGGGGGAUAACUACUCGAAAGAGUGGCUAAUACCGCAUGAGAUCUACGGAUGAAAGCAGGGGAUCGCAAGACCUUGUGCUACUAGAGCGGCCGAUGGCAGAUUAGGUAGUUGGUGGGAUAAAAGCUUACCAAGCCGACGAUCUGUAGCUGGUCUGAGAGGACGAUCAGCCACACUGGGACUGAGAAACGGCCCAGACUCCUACGGGAGGCAGCAGUGGGGAAUUUUGGACAAUGGGCGCAAGCCUGAUCCAGCAAUGCCGCGUGCAGGAUGAAGGCCUUCGGGUUGUAAACUGCUUUUGUACGGAACGAAAAGCCCUGGGUUAAUACCCUGGGGUCAUGACGGUACCGUAAGAAUAAGCACCGGCUAACUACGUGCCAGCAGCCGCAGUAACAC